UACCGAGUGCGGGCCCUCUGGGUCCAACCUCCCAUCCGUGUCUAUCUGUACCCUGUUGCUUCGGCGUGGCCACGGCCCGCCGGAGACUAACAUUUGAACGCUGUCUGAAGUUUGCAGUCUGAGUUUUUAGUUAAACAAUCGUUUAAAACUUUCAACAACGGAUCUCUUGGUUCCGGCAUCGAUGAAGAACGCAGCGAAAUGCGAUAAUUAAUGUGAAUUGCAGAAUUCAGUGAAUCAUCGAGUCUUUGAACGCACAUUGCGCCCCCUGGUAUUCCGGGGGGCAUGCCUGUCCGAGCGUCAUUGCUGCCCUCAAGCACGGCUUGUGUGUUGGGCUUCCGUCCCUGGCAACGGGGACGGGCCCAAAAGGCAGUGGCGGCACCAUGUCUGGUCCUCGAGCGUAUGGGGCUUUGUCACCCGCUCCCGUAGGUCCAGCUGGCAGCUAGCCUCGCAACCAAUCUUUUUAACCAGGUUGACCUCGGAUCAGGUAGGGAUACCCGCUGAACUUAAGCAUAUCAAUAAGCGGAGGAAAAGAAACCAACCGGGAUUGCCUCAGUAACGGCGAGUGAAGCGGCAAGAGCUCAAAUUUGAAAUCUGGCCCCUCCGGGGUCCGAGUUGUAAUUUGUAGAGGAUGCUUCGGGUGCGGCCCCCGUCUAAGUGCUCUGGAACGGGCCAUCGGAGAGGGUGAGAAUCCCGUCUGGGACGGGGUGUCCGCGUCCAUGUGAAGCUCCUUCGACGAGUCGAGUUGUUUGGGAAUGCAGCUCUAAAUGGGUGGUAAAUUUCAUCUAAAGCUAAAUACUGGCCGGAGACCGAUAGCGCACAAGUAGAGUGAUCGAAAGAUGAAAAGCACUUUGAAAAGAGAGUGAAACAGCACGUGAAAUUGUUGAAAGGGAAGCGCUUGCGACCAGACUCGCUUCCGGGGUUCAGCCGGCUUUCGGGCCGGUGUACUUCCCCGGGGGCGGGCCAGCGUCGGUUUGGGCGGCCGGUCAAAGGCCCCUGGAAUGUAACGCCUCUCGGGGCGCCUUAUAGCCAGGGGUGUCAUGCGGCCAGCCUGGACCGAGGAACGCGCU
rnacentral:sRNA from 1 species